rnacentral:rRNA from 1 species
UACAGAGGUCUCGAGCGUUGUUCGGAUUCAUUGGGCGUAAAGGGUGCGUAGAUGGCCUGAUAAGUUAGCAGUGGGAAAUCGAGGCUCAACCUCGUGGAAGCUGGUAAUACUGUCAGGCUCGAGUGCAGGAGAGGUUAACGGAACUCCAUGUGGAGCGGUAAAAUGUGUAGAUAUAUGGAAGAACACCAAUAACGGCGAAGGCAGUUAACUAUUCUGUUACUGACAUUGAGGCACGAAAGCGUGGGGAGCAAAACGG